AGGCGGUUCUUUAAGUCUGAUGUGAAAUCUUGCGGCUCAACCGCAAACGUGCAUUGGAAACUGGAGGACUUGAGUGCAGAAGAGGAGAGUGGAAUUCCACGUGUAGCGGUGAAAUGCGUAGAGAUGUGGAGGAACACCAGUGGCGAAGGCGACUCUCUGGUCUGUAACUGACGCUGAGGAGCGAAAGCGUGGGGAGCGAACAGGAUUAGAUACCCUGGUAGUCCACGCCGUAAACGAUGAGUGCUAGGUGUUAGGGGGUUUCCGCCCCUUAGUGCUGAAGUUAACGCAUUAAGCACUCCGCCUGGGGAGUACGGCCGCAAGGCUGAAACUCAAAAGAAUUGACGGGGACCCGCACAAGCGGUGGAGCAUGUGGUUUAAUUCGAAGCAACGCGAAGAACCUUACCAGGUCUUGACAUCCUUUGACCGCUCUAGAGAUAGAGUUUUCCCUUCGGGGACAAAGUGACAGGUGGUGCAUGGUUGUCGUCAGCUCGUGUCGUGAGAUGUUGGGUUAAGUCCCGCAACGAGCGCAACCCUUAAUCUUAGUUGCCAGCAUUCAGUUGGGCACUCUAAGGUGACUGCCGGUGACAAACCGGAGGAAGGUGGGGAUGACGUCAAAUCAUCAUGCCCCUUAUGACCUGGGCUACACACGUGCUACAAUGGACGGAACAAAGGGAAGCGAACCCGCGAGGUCCAGCAAAUCCCAUAAAACCGUUCUCAGUU
rnacentral:rRNA from 1 species